GUCUGCUCUUGGCACUAUAAGUUCAUUGAAAUUAAGUUAUUAUGGUGCUAUGAGGUACUAUGCGCUGGCCUACCUUUAGGGAUUAAAACCAUUCGUGAAUGGUUUAACCAGAAAGUCCAGUACCUAACCAUUCUACCCAUUGUCCUUCCGCUGCUCACAAUUAUUGAAGGAGAUUGCCUUGGACAGGGGCACCGCUAAAUGGCUGAGAGCAUCAACUAAGGUUUUCACCCAAUUGGUAGCUCCUUGUUCACUAAACGACUUCAGAAAAUACCCAUAUUUUUAAUAACCUAUUUUGUGAAUGGGGAAAUACUGAUUGGAUUAUAGCGUCUGCUGACAUUAACAGCCUAUCACUGGCACCCUGUCCAAGGCAAUCUCUUUCAAGAAACCGAGCAGUGGGUGCUGGAUACUGGACUGUGGGAAUAUACCAUUUGUGAACAGCAUAACCCCUAAAGGUAAACUGGCACCAGAGACCACUUGGUACCAUAACAACUUAAUUUCAAUUGCAUUCUUAUGGCGCCUGAGUGUUCCUUUCCACAUACUAUCUAUAUAAAACAGUUCCAUCUCUUUGAUCACUCUGCUCCUACAUGUCCCCAGCAACUUCCAUGAUUAGACUUGGUUAAAAUCAUCAACAAUUUCCUAGAAAUUCUGUUGCCACAAUGUUUUUUUUUUGUGGUUCUUUAAUAUAGCAUGAUAGCACCAUUAGAGCUUGAGCACA